AGAGUUUGAUCAUGGCUCAGAUUGAACGCUGGCGGCAGGCCUAACACAUGCAAGUCGAGCGGUAGCACAGAGAGCUUGCUCUCGGGUGACGAGCGGCGGACGGGUGAGUAAUGUCUGGGAAACUGCCUGAUGGAGGGGGAUAACUACUGGAAACGGUAGCUAAUACCGCAUAAUGUCGCAAGACCAAAGUGGGGGACCUUCGGGCCUCAUGCCAUCAGAUGUGCCCAGAUGGGAUUAGCUAGUAGGUGGGGUAAUGGCUCACCUAGGCGACGAUCCCUAGCUGGUCUGAGAGGAUGACCAGCCACACUGGAACUGAGACACGGUCCAGACUCCUACGGGAGGCAGCAGUGGGGAAUAUUGCACAAUGGGCGCAAGCCUGAUGCAGCCAUGCCGCGUGUGUGAAGAAGGCCUUCGGGUUGUAAAGCACUUUCAGCGGGGAGGAAGGCGGUGAGGUUAAUAACCUCAUCGAUUGACGUUACCCGCAGAAGAAGCACCGGCUAACUCCGUGCCAGCAGCCGCGGUAAUACGGAGGGUGCAAGCGUUAAUCGGAAUUACUGGGCGUAAAGCGCACGCAGGCGGUCUGUCAAGUCGGAUGUGAAAUCCCCGGGCUCAACCUGGGAACUGCAUUCGAAACUGGCAGGCUAGAGUCUUGUAGAGGGGGGUAGAAUUCCAGGUGUAGCGGUGAAAUGCGUAGAGAUCUGGAGGAAUACCGGUGGCGAAGGCGGCCCCCUGGACAAAGACUGACGCUCAGGUGCGAAAGCGUGGGGAGCAAACAGGAUUAGAUACCCUGGUAGUCCACGCCGUAAACGAUGUCGAUUUGGAGGUUGUGCCCUUGAGGCGUGGCUUCCGGAGCUAACGCGUUAAAUCGACCGCCUGGGGAGUACGGCCGCAAGGUUAAAACUCAAAUGAAUUGACGGGGGCCCGCACAAGCGGUGGAGCAUGUGGUUUAAUUCGAUGCAACGCGAAGAACCUUACCUGGUCUUGACAUCCACAGAACUUUCCAGAGAUGGAUUGGUGCCUUCGGGAACUGUGAGACAGGUGCUGCAUGGCUGUCGUCAGCUCGUGUUGUGAAAUGUUGGGUUAAGUCCCGCAACGAGCGCAACCCUUAUCCUUUGUUGCCAGCGGUCCGGCCGGGAACUCAAAGGAGACUGCCAGUGAUAAACUGGAGGAAGGUGGGGAUGACGUCAAGUCAUCAUGGCCCUUACGACCAGGGCUACACACGUGCUACAAUGGCAUAUACAAAGAGAAGCGACCUCGCGAGAGCAAGCGGACCUCAUAAAGUAUGUCGUAGUCCGGAUUGGAGUCUGCAACUCGACUCCAUGAAGUCGGAAUCGCUAGUAAUCGUAGAUCAGAAUGCUACGGUGAAUACGUUCCCGGGCCUUGUACACACCGCCCGUCACACCAUGGGAGUGGGUUGCAAAAGAAGUAGGUAGCUUAACCUUCGGGAGGGCGCUUACCACUUUGUGAUUCAUGACUGGGGUGAAGUCGUAACAAGGUAACCGUAGGGGAACCUGCGGUUGGAUCACCU
rnacentral:rRNA from 2 species